AUUGCCAAGGCUCCUUGCAAGUCUCCUUGGUAAGGCGUAAGUCGGCGGUUCGAGUCCGCCGGGCAGCUCCA
rnacentral:tRNA from 1 species